GAUGAACGCUGGCGGCGUGCCUAAUACAUGCAAGUCGAGCGAAUGGAUUAAGAGCUUGCUCUUAUGAAGUUAGCGGCGGACGGGUGAGUAACACGUGGUUAACCUGCCCAUAAGACUGGGAUAACUCCGGGAAACCGGGGCUAAUACCGGAUAACAUUUUGAACCGCAUGGUUCGAAAUUGAAAGGCGGCUUCGGCUGUCACUUAUGGAUGGACACGCGUCGCAUUAGCUAGUUGGUGAGGUAACGGCUCACCAAGGCAACGAUGCGUAGCCGACCUGGGAGGGUGAUCGGCCACACUGGGACUGAGACACGGCCCAGACUCCUACGGGAGGCAGCAGUAGGGAAUCUUCCGCAAUGGACGAAAGUCUGACGGAGCAACGCCGCGUGAGUGAUGAAGGCUUUCGGGUCGUAAAACUCUGUUGUUAGGGAAGAACAAGUGCUAGUUGAAUAAGCUGGCACCUUGACGGUACCUAACCAGAAAGCCACGGCUAACUACGUGCCAGCCGCCGCAGUAA
rnacentral:rRNA from 1 species